rnacentral:snRNA from 1 species
AAGUGUUGUAGCUCCUUUAGAAUUUGUCUAGCAGGUUUUAUAGGUUUUGCCCAAAAAUUUCC